rnacentral:rRNA from 1 species
GACGAACGCUAGCGGGAGGCCUAACACAUGCAAGCCGAGCGGUAUUGUUUCUUCGGAAAUGAGAGAGCGGCGUACGGGUGCGUAACACGUGUGCAACCUGCCUUUAUCUGGGGGAUAACCUUUCGAAAGGAAGAUUAAUACUCCAUAAUAUAUUGAACGGCAUCGUUUAAUAUUGAAAGCUCCGGCGGAGAGAGAUGGGCACGCGCAAGAUUAGCUAGUUGGUGAGGUAACGGCUCACCAAGGCGAUGAUCUUUAGGGGGCCUGAGAGGGUGAUCCCCCACACUGGUACUGAGACACGGACCAGACUCCUACGGGAGGCAGCAGUGAGGAAUAUUGGUCAAUGGGUGCAAGCCUGAACCAGCCAUCCCGCGUGAAGGACGACUGCCCUAUGGGUUGUAAACUUCUUUUGUAUAGGGAUAAACCUACCCUCGUGAGGGUAGCUGAAGGUACUAUACGAAUAAGCACCGGCUAACUCCGUGCCAGCCGCCGCGGUAA